UACGGGGGGGGCAAGCGUUGUUCGGAAUUACUGGGCGUAAAGGGCUCGUAGGUGGCCAACUAAGUCAGACGUGAAAUCCCCAGGCUUAACCUGGGAACUGCGUGUGAUACUGGAUGGCUUGAAUCCGGGAGAGGGAUGCGGAAUUCCAGGUGUAGCGGUGAAAUGCGUAGAUAUCUGGAGGAACACCGGUGGCGAAGGCGGCAUCCUGGACCGGUAUUGACACUGAAAAGCGAAAGCCAGGGGAGCAAACGGG
rnacentral:rRNA from 1 species